rnacentral:rRNA from 1 species
GAGUAACGCGUGAGUAACCUGCCUUCAGUGGGGAGUAACAUCCGGAAACGGAUGCUAAUACCGCAUAAAACAGCAGCACCGCAUGAUGCAACUGUCAAAGAUUUUAUCGCUGAAAGAUGGACUCGCGUCCGAUUAGGUAGUUGGUGAGUAACGGCCCACCAAGCCGACGAUCGGUAGCCGGACUGAGAGGUUGAACGGCCACAUUGGGACUGAGACACGGCCCAGACUCCUACGGGAGGCAGCAGUGGGGAAUAUUGCACAAUGGGCGCAAGCCUGAUGCCAGCAACGCCGCGUGAGGGAAGACGGUUUUCGGAUUGUAAACCUCUGUUCUUAGUGACGAAGAAGUGACGGUAGCUAAGGAGCAAGCCACGGCUAACUACGUGCCAGCAGCUGC